CACGUAGGGUGCGAGCGUUGUCCGGAAUUAUUGGGCGUAAAGAGCUCGUAGGCGGUGUGUCGCGUCGGCCGUGAAAACCUGCAGCUUAACUGUGGGCUUGCGGUCGAUACGGGCAUCACUGGAGUUCGGCAGGGGAGACUGGAAUUCCUGGUGUAGCGGUGAAAUGCGCAGAUAUCUGGAGGAACACCGGUGGCGAAGGCGGCAUCCUGGACCGACACUGACGCUGAGGAGCGAAAGCCAGGGGAGCAAACAGG
rnacentral:rRNA from 1 species